rnacentral:rRNA from 1 species
GAUGAACGCUGGCGGCGUGCCUAACACAUGCAAGUCGAACGAAGCGCCUUACCGGAUUCUUAGGAUGAAGGUCUGGUGACUGAGUGGCGGACGGGUGAGUAACGCGUGGGUAACCUGCCCUGUACAGGGGGAUAACAGCUGGAAACGGCUGCUAAUACCGCAUAAGCGCACGAGGAGACAUCUCCUUGUGUGAAAAACUCCGGUGGUACAGGAUGGGCCCGCGUCUGAUUAGCUGGUUGGCAGGGUAACGGCCUACCAAGGCAACGAUCAGUAGCCGGUCUGAGAGGAUGAACGGCCACAUUGGAACUGAGACACGGUCCAAACUCCUACGGGAGGCAGCAGUGGGGAAUAUUGCACAAUGGGGGAAACCCUGAUGCAGCAACGCCGCGUGAGUGAAGAAGUAUUUCGGUAUGUAAAGCUCUAUCAGCAGGGAAGAUAAUGACGGUACCUGACUAAGAAGCUCCGGCUAAAUACGUG